UUCUGCCGGUCUUGGGACGUUUUGACUGUCAUUUUAUACUUUCGAUUUCGGAUAUUUUAAGAAUUGGUUUGAUUGUCAAUGACUUUACAAGGAUACAUUGACGUCUCCUGCAUCGUGAGAAAUAAAGCCAUAGAAUACAUUCAUACCACUCAAAUUCAGCCAGUCAGAAUGAUGGGAAGGAUUGCAGAACUGAGUUUCACUCUCACCUGACUGAUGCAGAUUCAGUAACCUAAGUGCUCAUGAUGGUUUCUGAGAAAAAAACAGCUUGGUGUAAUAUGACAGUAUUUUUCAGUAUUUGACAGUGGUUCUAUCAUGCAACAGUCAUACCAUGAAGUGUCUCACAGAUUCUCUCUCAAUUCCUGCAAUAUCCAAGAUUACAGUGUAGUGCAAAGAGGAUUAAAUUUCUUGCGAUAAGAAGUAUCUGCACUUCCAAAUACCCCUGUACAGCAUGAACAGUUCCUUCAUUUUUUGAGUGAUUAUAGAGUGAAAAUGUUUCCAUAUAAAAUGUUUUCUUUUUAUGUGUAAAACUUGUCAUGGAUGGUUACAAAUACAUGCAUGGACAUUAUGAUUCCAAAUCUAUGCACAUUUUGAUUCCAAUAAUUAAAAGUAUUUUAAAUUUGGUUUGAAACAGAAAUAUUGUCCUUAUGUUUGUUUCUAAACAUUAUCUGGUAUUAUUCGUGUUUAUAGUUUCCAUGUCAAUUUAAAAAAAAAGUCGGUUCUUUUAAAGAUGCACUCUUACUCCCACAUAAGAUUUACCACAAUUAAUACUUUUGUUUUAUUAUUCCAAAAAGGAUGAAUAAAUGUUGAAAACAAUGGUUCUAAUGAAGGAUGCCUACUUCUACUUGAAGGAAAUGUGCAUAAAAGACAGUAUUUCUACCAUUUGAGAUCAUAGUAGAUCACAGUAAAUCUUUAUGCAUUCACCAAUCAUUUAAUAUCUUUGCUUUUUCAGCUUAAAUACACGGUUACAAUAUUUUUAUCAAUACUUAAUAUUUUCCAAAAAUGAAUUAUUAAGUAAGUUGUUAAAGGGUUAACAGUCAAAGUAUAUGUUUGUUAUACAUGUGUAUGCAUUGAUACUGAAUAAGAGUGUCACUUUAAACAGUUGCCAUGGUAACUAGAGUCUAGUUUUCUUAAGAAACUGUAAUUGUUGUCUAAAAACCUUUGUAUUUUCAAUGUGAUACUUUUUAGCAUGUCCGCUUCAGUCAAUGAAAUAUUUCUGUUAUUUGUUAAUCAUUUGGUCAUACUUUGUAUACAAUUAUAUUUAUAAUUUAACCUUGAAAAUUGCUGACAAUCUCAUACUUAUAUUGAAAUAUUCAGAAUUGCUAGAUGUGUUGAAGUUCACCUUUAUUACAACUGUCAGGCAAAUCAUGGCAAGAUGUACAUAAUUCUCCUUUUUAACAAAAAGCGAUGUUUAAAGCAUUUUUUGUAUUUUUAUUGAAUGGUUACCAUGGCAACUAAUUUUUUGUUUGCCUUUAAUCCUCCUAUUUAUAAUACUAUUAAUUGUAAAAAUGCAACAGUCAAGCAGUGAAUGGAAGAAUGUAAAUGUUCUUUGUCUUUUACCUUUUUCAAGCUCAUUCUUCAAAAUAUAAAGCAAUUUUAAAAUUUCUUAAAAAUGGACGUUUUUUCAUCAUUUUUUUAAAGUAAAAUAAUUUGCUUAAAACUUUGUUUAGGUUCUGAUAUUUAGGAAUGUGUAUUAAAUUUAUAGAAAAUAAACAAAAUGUGUUGUUUGACAUUAUUUAUUUCAUUUAAAUUCCGAAGUUUUGAAUUUGACCUAUUUUGGCAGAAAAAUUGAUAAAAAUGUAAAAUUAAAAGGGCCAUAAUUCUGUCAAAAAUUGAUGGAUUUUGAAAAAAUGUGCAUAUUUGAGUUUGUAAUGACGUAACCUUUAAAAUGAUAUAUCACUUUAAUAUACUGUAUUAAAUUAAUUUUUUACUUUGUUAUUG